UUUUUUUUCUUUUUUGUGAGCGGCUAGUUAUAUAAUACAUUUUCUUUUUCGGGUGAGUUUUUUUCAAACUCUUUAUGGCUUGAAUUAAUCCAAAGUCAUUAGACAACAUAGAUUUCUUUCUAUUUAAUUAUACACAACUUGGGAGUUCCCUGGUGGUCUAGUGGUUAGGAUGUGACAAUUUCCACUGCUGCAACCCAGGUUCAUUCCCUGGUCUGGGAAAUGAGAUCCCUGUGUGUAAGUCUGGGUUCUCCUGUCUGUUCAGUGCACUGAAGCCUCCUGCCUGCUAUGCUUAGUGCUUUGUACAUAGGUGUUCAAAAGGUGCCUGCAACAAACAAAGUUAAAAACCUACACUACGGAGUUCCCAUCGUAGCUCCGCGGAAAUGGAUCUGACUAGCAUCCAAGAGGACACAGGUUCCAUCCCUGGCCUUGCUCAUGGGUUCACAAUCUGGUGUUGCUGUGGCCGUGGUGUAGGCCAGCAGCUAUAGCUCCGACUGGAUCCCUAGCCUGGGAACCUCCGUAAGCUGCAGAUGAGGCCCUAAAAAGACAAAAACAAACAAAAAAAAACAAAACCCUACACUUCUAUCUUGUUUAUUAUCAAUUUAACUACAGCUAGGUAAAGCCCUGGUAGGUAUUCUUUUCUAAGAUAAAAAGUAAAAACAAAAUAAAAUCUGCAUCAAUGUUUCUAUGCAGAAAGUCUAAACUUUCAUUUGAGCUUAUUUAUUUGAGGUGGGUUUGCUUGAUCCUUAUAAAAAAAAGAUUCGUGGUAUUCUUCAGCUUGUUUAUAGUGCUGAGCAACACUCAUGUUUGUUUUACAUUCUCUGCUAGUUCCUCUUCUUCUUUUUUUUUAAUAACACAGACAUUUUAAAACCAAAAUAAACUGAGCAUGUGUAUUAGCAUUAUAGAAACACAGCAGUAGGCAGUAAAUGAUUUAUGGAACUAUCUUCUCUGGGUAAUACAACAGUGUUAUACAUACACAAUUACUUUCAUAAAGUUUGGAAGGCAAACAUGAAUAGGAAUGCCUACUACAUUCAAUAUGUUAUGUCAGUAUUUAAAAAAAAAACAAAACAAUUUCUGUGUACCGUAGUUUUUCUCCUUUUUAAAAAAAACUCCCAUUCUCAGAAUCCAUCUCAACCAGUCUAAAGAUGUGAAAAGCUGUCAUAUUCUUAAAGACCAACAGAGGAAAAAAGAAAAUUGACAGCUACCCAUUCCAAUUUUAUGUCAGUUAAAUAUUUUAAAGAGAUAAAAUAGAUCUCUAAGAGUGAAGAUCAAACAAAAAGCACAUCUUAUUCAUUAUUAGCUUUUUUUAGGGCCACACCUGUAGCAGAAGGAAGUUCCCAGGCUAGGGGUUGAAUUGGAGCUGCAGCUGCCGGCCUACGCCACAGCCACAGCCAUAACAAUGCCAGAUCUGAGCCGAGUCAGCAACUUACACCACAGCUCGGGGCAACGCUGGAUCCUUAACCCACUGAGUGAGGCCAGGGACUGAACCCGUAUCCUCGUGGAUACUAGUCAGGUUCGUGUCAGCUGAGCCACAACAGGAACUCCCCCAAAAAAUCACAUUUUAGGUGUCCUUAAAGGCACGCAGCUUUCUUCAUGGCAUUUUCUUUUUAAAGCCAUAUUAUUUGACUUCUUCAAACUUUUUACCAGUAAGAUAUUUUCCAAGUUUUCCACAUGCACCUUUCCCAGAGGAGCCACAGAAUAACUCCUCACUUCCAUAAAGCCAACUCUCGCCCAGGCAGCGUGGCCACUCUGGAAACAGUCCCUAAGCAGAGGCAGCCACGCACCCUGGCUGCGCUAACCCAGGGUGGCCCUCCUCGGGCUCUGCAGCUCAAUCUCCGUAUUCUAGUGGUAGACACAGUUCUAAGGACCACAGCUACCGGGUUUCCAGACCAUACAUCAGCACAACCAAAUAAACGGCUGAACACAUAAGAUGACAGCAGCAGCAAGUGAGAGUUGAGGGGGUGGCUACAAACACAGAUGAGCUUAAAAGAAGCAGAAUCACUUUCUACCGAUGGUAUCAGAACUCCUUAGCUUUGUAAUUCUGGAGGCCACUCACACUAACACACACUGAUCUAGCUCUUUAGAGCUUAGGAAAGAGUUUUUAGCUGUGUACACACACAUCAACAUAAAUACAGCUACAGACGUGCCGAGAUGCAUUUAAGCCUUCCUGUAACGCAGGAGAUGCACAGCAUCAGCCCCACCGUAUGGAUCUUGCGCUCAGAAUAUGCAGGGAGUCCUGGCCAAGGAAGGUGGGGAGUCUCGAGGGGCUGGAGGGGUCCUUGGUUGACAGUCAGCAACUGCCAGGAACUGAAUUCGCUCAGCCAUCUGAGCUUGGAGCACGACCCCGAACGCCCGACGAGACCUCAACCCCAGCCAGCAUGAAAACCACGAGAUCAGAAAUAGCUGUACGCCACGAGGUUUGUGGUGAUUCCCUGGCUAACAACAGAAAAAUAACGUUGCUUGUUUAUUCCUUCUCCCUCAUCCAUCGCUGCCAGAUUAACCUUCCCUACUGGGUAGCUCCUUACGAGCCCCCUAACCCCGUGGACAUCACCGGAGUGCUGAAGGCCAAUUUCUAGUCCCCUGCCCCCACGUGAAAACCCUUCCUGGAGAAAAUACAUACAGACGCAGCUUUUGGAAACAGGACCAAACUGUGCAAGUACCUAAACCCACUUAUACAUAUUUUGAAGGUAAGUCAGUUGUGUUUGUUCCACUACAAUGUUAAAAAAGAGAAAAGUAAAAUUUUAAUUAAACAUAGUUAGGAACACAGAAAAUCUAGCAGCAUUUACACUAUCUAGGGUUAAAUUCUACUGCUCUAACCAAAGACUUUCCCCCCCCCCCAACCAUUUUCAUUCAUGCCACUGAAACUUAAAUUUCAAUGAAAUGUAACACUGAAACCAGUUCAUUUUGGCCUCACCUGAGAUAGCAAAUCUAUUCCCCACCAUCUGGCCACAAAACUUUUCGUUCCAGGCAGCCGUCUUCUCCACUGUGCCUCUCUGCUCAGCAUGAUUCCUCUUCUGGACCCUCUCACAUAGCCUUCAAGACUCAUCUCAAACACCCUCCUAUCCUUUAAUUCCUUAACUCAUCAAACACACGGAGUACCUACAGGGCACACUCGGAAUGGUGGAAUGAGGGAGAUUAAAAGUGCUGUUUUUCCAUAGGACACUGGUUGAGCAAAGCAUAGUAAAUAUGCAGAGCGCAGGACUUCCUGCUGUGGGUUAAGAAUCCACCUGCAGCAGCUUGGAUACCUGAGGAGGCAUGGGUUUGAUCCCUGGACCAGAGAAAUGGGUUAAAGGAUCCAGUGCAGGUUGAGGCUGCAGCUCGAAUUCCAUCUCUGGCCCUGGAACUUCCACAUGCUGCGGGUGAAGCCAUUAAAAAAGAAAAUGCACAGCACACUAUUAUGCAACUAUAAAACAUGCCCAAGGAAGCUCUCUUAUGACCAACAUGAAGUAAUAAUGUUCAAAGGGGACCGUGACAAAGGUCUCAACAAUAGGAGGGUAAUUUGUAUAAAAAAUACAAAGUACAUAUGUACUAUCUUUUACUUAAGGAGAUAAGAAAGCACACAUAUCUGCUUAUCUUUAUAAAAAAAAAAAAACUCAGGAAGGAUAAAUCACAAACGUGGAGUCAACUGAACAAAAGAGGGGGAGGGGAGGUAGAGGUCCAGGUAGAGGGAUGAGAGCAAUGCACCCUUUUCCGAGGGUGCCCUUUGUACAGGUGGUGCUUUACGAAACAGCACGUUAAUCUUCCAUACGCUUACCAAAUAAAAGCUUUUCAAAAAAGAUAGGAAGAUGGGAAAAUUCAGUAAUUGAAAGCAAAUUAAAAUCUUCCCAAUGGAAAUUUUUAUUUAUGUAUUUAUUUAUUUUGCUUUCUAGAGCCCCACCCAUGGCAUAUGGAAGUUCCCAAGCUAGGGGUGGCAUCCGAGACAGCAGCCCAUGGCAAUGCUGGAUCCUUAACCCACUGAGUGGGGGUCAGGGAUCAAACCCACGUCCUCAUGGAUUCUAGCUGGGUUGGGGUCCGUUGCUGCUGAGCUACAUCGGGAACUCCUUCCCAAUUGCAUUUCAAAUGAAUGUCAUUACCUCGCCGAAAGGAGUAAAAGAACAUGUAAUCCAAGUAAUCCAUAAAAUUUUACUAUAAUUCAGUUUGAACUGGCCUUUUCCACCUCUGGCUCUCCGUUUAUGUAAACAGAGGUGUCCCGCACACCACGCUAGCUGGUUCUGUGAGUUCUGAGUUAAUCAGAUCAUAUAAUGAUGACACAGGUGUUCAUGCAGAAAAAUAAAGGAUGGAAUGCCAUUGUAAUUUGAGUUCACCAUUCCACAUUUUCUUAAAUUUUCACCACUGCAUUUGCUGUUGUUGUUGUUUUUAGUUAUCGGUAUCUGCUUUAUAUGUUCCUGGUCCUUCCUCAAUGGCUGUUUCCACUUCUCACUGAGUCAGCUUUAUAAGCCUCAAGGAAGCUUCACCCUGGGAUCAUGGGUCCAAAAGGCCAGGUUAGCUAUAAUUCUGUAUAAACUAAAUAUAAGAAAACUAUGAGUAUGUGACACUCUCUUAUGAGAAAAGAAUCCAUGGUUUUAUUUCCCUAAUAGGCUUUGUGAAAUCAAUGCUAUCUGCUCAGAGCAUUUUAUUUACUUCUAGAUUCUCUGUGUCACCAAUAUUUGAUUGCAGAAUAAAUGCUAUUUUGUGUAUUUUCAUUUAUUAGCUAUCAUAAAAUAUACACAAGUUUUCUAUUUCUAAGAUUUUCAAUUAUUUCUUAGUGUAUUAAAAAAUCAACCUCCAAAUUUGUAUUUUGUUUGUGUUUACUUUGAUAUGUUUAUAUGUUAAUAUUACAUCUUUUCUUGCUAAAUUCUUGAAUAGGUCACAAUGUAAAUUAAAAAAAAAAAA
rnacentral:tRNA from 1 species